UUCGGUUCUCGUUUAAGCACAGACCAAACAAACACCACCUCCCUAGAGGCUACGUACCAUGAUGGUCAGAUUAGGGGUUGCUGUGAUUAUUUUCAGUGCAGUGUAUGUUUCUCCUUACUCUCAUGAAGAAGUUCCCAGAAGAUGAAGCCCUGUAUUACUGUGCAAUUGGAAGAGAGCUGACUUUGGAAAUUCAGAGAUGGCACAUCUGUCUUUAAAAGGAAACGGUCAGAGGUCUGACUACAAGACAGUGGAGCAACAGCCAGAGUCGGACCCAGUCCAUCCAGGAGACUCAGUGACUCUGCAGUGUACAGUACUCUCUGAGACCUGUACAGGAGAACACAGUGUGUACUGGUUCCAAGCCAUCAAAGGAGAAUCUCAU
rnacentral:lncRNA from 1 species